rnacentral:rRNA from 1 species
CAUAUCAUUAAGCGGAGGAAAAGAAACUAACAAGGAUUCCCCCAGUAACGGCGAGUGAAGCGGGAAGAGCUCAAGCUUAAAAUCUCCAUACUUGUAUGGCGAAUUGUAGUCUAUUGAGGCUGUUGUCAGCAUCGCGAUUGGGGACAAGUCCCUUGGAAAAGGGCAGCAUGGAGGGUGAUACUCCCGUCUCUGCUCCAAUUUGCGGUGUGUACGAUACGCUUUCUUUGAGUCGAGUUGUUUGGGAAUACAGCUCAAAGUAGGUGGUAAAUUCCAUCUAAAGCUAAAUAUUGGUGCAAGACCGAUAGCGAACAAGUACCGUGAGGGAAAGAUGAAAAGAACUUUGAAAAGAGAGUUAAAGAGUACCUGAAACUGUUGAAAGGGAACCGUAUCGUUUCCAGUGUUUUAUCUCGUGCAUAUUUCAUUCGCGGAGCAAUUUGCGGGUGCCCUGUGCAUGGGUGUGACGUCAGGGUCAGUUUGUAUGCUGCGGGAGAUGGUCAGUGAGGAGGUGCGUCACUUCGGUGAAAGUUAUAUCUCGCUGUCUAGUAGCCGUGGUUGAGACUGAGGUGCCUACAACAUGCCUUAAAGUUCCACGUUGUCUCGUGUUGGUGACUGCUUUGAUAGCUUGCUAUGUCUGUGGUUUAUCAAUGCGAUCGGUGGUGUGGAUAACUUUUGCUGUUCGGGACUCUGGCGAAAUGGA